rnacentral:rRNA from 1 species
AUUGAACGCUGGCGGCAGGCCUAACACAUGCAAGUCGAACGAGUGGCGGACGGGGGAGUAAUGUCUGGGAAACUGCCUGAUGGAGGGGGAUAACAACUGGAGACGGGAGCUAAUACCGCAUAUCAUAAGAUGUGCCCAUAUGGGGUUAUCGAGUGGGUGGGGUAACGGCUCACCAAGGAGACGAUCCCUAGCUGGUCUGAGAGGAUGACCCGCCACACUGGAACUGAGACACGGUCCAGACUCCUACGUGAGGCAGCAGUGGGGAAUAUUGCACAAUGGGCGCAAGCCUGAUGCAGCCAUGCCGCGUGUAUGAAGAAGGCCUUCGGGUUGUAAAGUACUUUCAGCGGGGAGGCGUUACCCGCAGAAGAAGCACCGGCUAACUCCGUGCCAGCAGCCGCGGUAAUAC